rnacentral:rRNA from 1 species
GGGUGCAAGCGUUAAUCGGAAUUACUGGGCGUAAAGGGAACGCAGGCGGUCUUUUAAGUCUGAUGUGAAAGCCUUCGGCUUAACCGGAGUAGUGCAUUGGAAACUGUUGAACUUGAGUGCAGAAGAGGAGAGUGGAACUCCAUGUGUAGCGGUGGAAUGCGUAGAUAUAUGGAAGAACACCAGUGGCGAAGGCGGCUCUCUGGUCUGUAACUGACGCUGAGGUUCGAAAGCGUGGGUAGCAAAC